CCUAGUGAGACCAUUAAGUGAUUACUAAUAUCCUUUUAAUAAUUCCUUGUUUACCCAUCUGCUAUUGCAACACUGAAUAUUUUUGUUGAUAUAGUGUCUAAUAUGUUCAUCAUAAACUGUCAUAGGAUGGACUGAUUUUGAUCAAGGGACAGGGAGUGGAUCACUGGUGGGGCAUUGGUAUGAUGAACUACCAAACUCUGUGAAGGAAAGAGUGCAUUCCUUAGGAUUGCAUCCUUUGGUGGAAGGAAUUAAUCAAUCAGCAAUCGAUGCUCCUUUAAUGCAAGCUUUGGCUGAGAAAUGGUGAGACACUACAGAUACAUUUAGUUUUGAGCAAUUUGGAGAAACGACAAUGACACCUCUUGAUUUCAGUACGAUAUCUGGAUUACUCGUGAGUGGGAAAAAUAUCAUAUAUGAUAAAAUAAUUCACAGGAAGGAUGAGACCAUGAACCAGAUUGGUAGGGGAGCCACUACUUUCAUGUCACAACACCAUAACAACAACUGGAGGCCUAUGGAAAGCGUGGGAGAUCUGGGCUAUAGAAUACUUCCCCUGUCUCCACGUAAUUAAUGUAUUCCCCAAGAUGAUUGUGUGGAAUGACACAGACCCUCCAAGGAUGGAUCACUCAAGGCUGAUUCAUUUUUAGAGGAAAAAACUAACUGACAUACCUUUCCAACAGGUAUGCAUCAGUUUUGAUAGGCAGAAAUUUGGAACAACAGAAAUUUUACUACCAUUAAUAAAUUUCAUGUUUUAUUUUAAAGUAACAAUUUAUUGUUUUCUAACUUCAAAUGGUUGGUGAAUUGGAAUCCUUGGGGUGAAAUUGAGUACGAACCGAGUUACAUCAAACAAAGUAAAUAGGCAAACAGGAGGAGAAUGAGUGGUACCUCGCAGAGCGAGUAAUACGCAAAGUUGUGGAUUUAGGCCAACUAAUCUCCCAAAAAAACAGCCAAAAUCGAUGCUGUCAAGGGGGAAGCUAAUGUGGAUAACAACGCCAUGGUCUUUCAUGGUAAGCCAGCUGCAAGACCAUGACAUUGUUAGUUGUUAAAAUCUUCAUGGAUUCCUAUAUGAAAUGAUCAAUGCUUAUGUGUCUUAGGAAACUUGGUUGGACCAGGAUAGAGGAGAGCCACAUCUGAAUGGCAAAACUGUGCCAGUAUAGGUAGGCUUAUUAGCUUAUAAAUAGUUACUAUAUAUACUGCUAAAGUAUUUUCAGCUUGUGUAAAUGUUUGGUUAAAUAUCUUGUGUUUGGUAAAACACUAAGGACGUCACCAAGAAUAUUGCUGCAGUGGCAAACAAGCUAGAAAAGAACAUACACUUAAAAUUCUCAACGAUUACGCAAAUAUAGGAUUUGCACCAACAAAGAAUGGGACUAGGAGGUGGCACCUCAAAGGAGAAACAUUAGUUUGUUCAACUGAUGAAUUGCGUUUAUAGUAUUUAGGUUUACCAACCAUGUAAUGUAAUUUCUGAAAUUAGUUUCAUUGAUAGUAAGGUCAUGCAGGAAUAAUAUUACACAAUUCAGAUGAGAUUGUGUACCGUGUUCAAACUUUUCAGUGUCAUUACCAAUUUCAUUCAGUAGUGUCUGUUUAUAUUCAUUGAAAAUCAUCUUUAAAAAUGCAAUUAUACCUUCUUUUUCCACCUCACG